rnacentral:misc_RNA from 1 species
GGAAGAAGAAACUAAUUCAAUCAACUAGUGGUAAAGUUAUUUAAACUAUAUUCCAUAAUCACAUCAAUCACCAGCCAAAAAUUCAUCAAGAAGAAAAACACGUUGUGUCAUGAGUAGGGUAUAAUUAAUAUCAUUUAAGUUAGGUCAAGAUGUGAAAUGCAAGAAAACUUAAAUGAGGUUACAGCACAAAAAGUACCAUUAACUUAAUUCUCUUAAAAUUCCAAGCGUUGCCAAACUGCCUGCUUACCGGAGCUAGAGGCCAAAAGUGCAUAUGCAGCAAAGUUGCAAAAUC